UGAGGAAUAUUGCACAAUGGGCGCAAGCCUGAUGCAGCAACGCCGCGUGAGUGAUGAAGGUCUUCGGAUUGUAAAGCUCUGUCUUUGGGGACGAUAAUGACGGUACCCAAGGAGGAAGCCACGGCUAACUACGUG
rnacentral:rRNA from 1 species